AUUAGAUACCCUAUUAUUUUUAUUGUGAAAAUAUAAGCUGGAGUAUUAAUAGUUAUGAUCUUAAAACUUAAAGAAUUUGGCGGUAUUAUAAUCUGUUUAGAGGAAUCUGUUAUAUAAUCGAUAAUCCACGUAGAACCUUACUUAUAUUAUUUUUUGUAUAUCGCUGUUUAAGAAAAUAUUUUUAGAUAAAUUUUCUGAAUAUAAAAAUAAUUAAUAUUUCAAGUCAAGGUGCAGUAAUAUAUAAGUUGAAUAAUGGAUUACAAUAAAUUUUAUUUAUAUGAAUAAUUAGUUGAAAUUUAAUUUGAAAGUGGAUUUAAUUGUAAUUUUAUAAAGAAUAUUAAAAUGAUUUGUAGUUCUAUAAUGUGUACACAUCGCCCG
rnacentral:rRNA from 1 species